GGAUUUGAACCGAGGAGACUCUUGCCCC
rnacentral:piRNA from 1 species